CUGGGUGUAGCUCAGUUGAAAGAGCGCCGCAUUUGGGAUGCGGAGGUCGUGAGUUUGAGCCUCGCCACUCAGA
rnacentral:tRNA from 2 species